GUCGAGAAUAAUUCACAAUGGGGGAAACCCUGAUGGUGCAACGCCGCGUGGAGGAUGAAGGUCUUCGGAUUGUAAACUCCUGUCAUCGGGGAGUAAGACCUGGCGGUAAAUAGCCGACAGGGUUGAUAGUACCCGAAGAGGAAGGGACGGCUAACUUCGUGCCAGCAGCCGCGGUAAUACGAAGGUCCCAAGCGUUGUUCGGAAUCACUGGGCGUAAAGGGAGCGUAGGCGGCGUGGUAAGUCAGAUGUGAAAUCCCGGGGCUCAACCCCGGAACUGCAUCCGAUACUGCCAUGCUUGAGGGUUGGAGAGGUAGCUGGAAUUCUCGGUGUAGCAGUGAAAUGCGUGGAUAUCGAGAGGAACACUCGUGGCGAAGGCGAGCUACUGGACAACAUCUGACGCUGAGGCUCGAAGGCCAGGGGAGCAAAAGGGAUUAGAAACCCCUGUAGUCC
rnacentral:rRNA from 1 species